CAAAGCACCAUGAAGGAAAACACUUGUUCCCAUGGACAAAUUUACAUGACACCUCAGUCAUAAUUCCUCGAUCGCAAACAAAACUAUUAGCAUCCGAGCAGGAACAACAAUUUUUGGCUGCGAACAUUCUUAGUCAAACCAGAAUGUUUCUCUAACACAGGGCUAAUACUAAACCCUCGCAACAUCGCGAAAUAUCUUC
rnacentral:lncRNA from 1 species